ensembl:lncRNA
GUAUGGCAACCAAAAUCCAAUGUCCACAAGACGUCAUAAUGGUAACGUCCAAUCAACGUCAAAUUAUAACGUCAUUUGACUUUGAUCUUUAGUUUGUUUUUAGGUUGUGACAUUAACUAACCUAAACCCAACGUCGAGGCAACGUCUCAGGCCAACGUCACAUUGACAUCAAAUACUGAUGUUUAGUCGUCAGGUAUGGCAACCAAAAUCCAACAUCUUGUAGACGUCAUUAUGGUAACGUCCAAUCAACGUCAAGUUAUAACAUCAUUUGAUGUUGAUCUGUAGUUAGUUUUAGGUUGUGGCAUUAACUAACCAAAAUCCAACAUCAAGACAACGUCUCAAGCCAAUGUCAGAUUGACAUCAAAAACUGAUACUUAGUCGUCAGGUAUGGCAACCAAAAUCCAAUGUCUUCAAGACGUCAUAAUGGUAACGUCCAAUCAACGUCCAAUUAUAACAUCAUUUGACUUUGAUCUUUAGUUUGUUUUUAGGUUGUGACAUUAACUAACCUAAACCCAACGUCGAGCCAACGUCUCAGGCCAACAUCACAUUGACAUCAAAUACUGAUGUUUAGUCGUCAGGUAUGGCAACCAAAAUCCAAUGUCUUCAAGACGUCAUAAUGGUAACGUCCAAUCAACGUCAAAUUAUAACGUCAUUUGACUUUAAUCUUUAGUUUG